rfam:Rattus norvegicus strain BN; Sprague-Dawley chromosome 4 CRA_213000034364637, whole genome shotgun sequence.
GCAUCCAGGGCCUGCAGUGCGGAAGCAUUCCAGAGAGGUCGCGGGAGCCGCCCGGGAACUCCACAGCCCAGGCCUCUCCCAAGCCACCUCCUCUUUCCACCGCUCCCUGCCACCGCGGUUUCUGUGCUUUUCCCAGUCCUCAGAGAGCUGGGAAGAUGAAACUCUCCCCUGCAGGGAUCCAGUCGAACUUUCUCCGUGCAA